rnacentral:rRNA from 1 species
GAGGAAUAUUGGUCAAUGGGCGAGAGCCUGAACCAGCCAAGUAGCGUGCAGGGUGACGGCCCUAUGGGUUGUAAACUGCUUUUGUAUGGGGAUAAAGUCAGUCACGUGUGAUUGUUUGCAGGUACCAUACGAAUAAGGACCGGCUAAUUCCGUGCCAGCAGCCGCGGUAAUACGGAAGGUCCGGGCGUUAUCCGGAUUUAUUGGGUUUAAAGGGAGCGUAGGCUGGAGAUUAAGUGUGUUGUGAAAUGUAGACGCUCAACGUCUGACUUGCAGCGCAUACUGGUUUCCUUGAGUACGCACAACGUUGGCGGAAUUCGUCGUGUAGCGGUGAAAUGCUUAGAUAUGACGAAGAACUCCGAUUGCGAAGGCAGCUGACGGGAGCGCAACUGACGCUGAAGCUCGAAGGUGCGGGUAUCGAACAGGAUUAGAUACCCUGGUAGUCCGCACAGUAAACGAUGGAUGCCCGCUGUUGGUACCUGGUAUCAGCGGCUAAGCGAAAGCAUUAAGCAUCCCACCUGGGGAGUACGCCGGCAACGGUG